UGAGCUUGAUCCUGGCUCAGGAUGAACGCUAGCGGCAGGCUUAAACACAUGCAAGUCGAGGGGUAUUAGUUUUCGGACUAAGAGACCGGCGCACGGGUGCGUAACGCGUAUGCAAUCUACCUUUUACAGAGGGAUAGCCCAGAGAAAUUUGGAUUAAUACCUCAUAGUAUAAUGACUCGGCAUCGAGAUAUUAUUAAAGUCACAACGGUAAAAGAUGAGCAUGCGUCCCAUUAGCUAGUUGGUAAGGUAACGGCUUACCAAGGCUACGAUGGGUAGGGGUCCUGAGAGGGAGAUCCCCCACACUGGUACUGAGACACGGACCAGACUCCUACGGGAGGCAGCAGUGAGGAAUAUUGGACAAUGGGCGCAAGCCUGAUCCAGCCAUGCCGCGUGCAGGAUGACGGUCCUAUGGAUUGUAAACUGCUUUUAUACGAGAAGAAACACUGCUUCGUGAAGCAGCUGACGGUAUC
rnacentral:rRNA from 1 species